UCCCUGGUGGUCCAGUGGGUAAGAUGCUGCACUGCCAAUGGAGGGGGCCCGGGUUCAAUCCCUGGUUGGGGAG